rnacentral:rRNA from 1 species
UACAGAGGGUGCGAGCGUUAAUCGGAAUUACUGGGCGUAAAGCGCGCGCAGGCGGUUUUGUAAGCCAGAUGUGAAAUCCCCGGGCUUAACCUGGGAAUGGCAUUUGGGACUGCAAGGCUUGAGUGCGGCAGAGGAGACUGGAAUUCCUGGUGUAGCAGUGAAAUGCGUAGAUAUCAGGAGGAACACCGAUGGCGAAGGCAGGUCUCUGGGCUGACACUGACGCUCAUGCACGAAAGCGUGGGGAGCAAACAGG